UCAUACUAGCAACAGUUUUAAAGACUGUCGAUUUUAUUGUUAAAAUCAUUCUUGAACAUGCGAUGAAAAAGUUGUUCGUAAUUCACAAAAAAGAUAAUCAUAUGAAUUUUAUUCAAUUGAUAUAUGUAAAGUUUUAACAUUUUGCACUAAAUAUCAUGUUUUCUAUAAGUUAAACAUGUUUUCGAUGAUGUUCGUUUUUUCUAAGUAAAAAAAAAAAAUGUCUUCAACAUCUCAACUACGUCAAAACUUUGUUAAUCAACCAAUGGGAGACAGACCUAUUACUGACAUACCGAGUGUCGGCCCAAUAUAUGGCGAACGUCUAACUAAUAUUGGAUUUAGUAAAGCAUAUAAUCUUUAUGGUAAAUUUCUUGUAGAAGGCAAAAGCGAAUCACAAUUCGUCAAUUGGUAUCAAAGUAUAACACGGGCAAAUAAUACGCAAGCUAAAACAUGUUUUGAUACUUUAAAAGCUUAUGAUGAUGCACAUAAUUAAUAAAUGGAAGUGAAAUCAUUAUGUUAAAUUGUUUACAGCAAAUAAAGAGAAUUUAAAUAAGAAAAAAUAUAUAAAAACUAAUUUAAAUGUUUGAUUAAUUCAUUAAAAAAUUAUUUUGUGUUUUUCCUAAUAUUUUAAAUACGGUUAUCUAUUCUUGUUUUUCUUUGGUUCAAUUUUUUAAGUGUUUAUUGUUAUAGAAUUUAAUAACAGCUUGAUAAUUAAAGUUAUAAAGAAAGUCUUUUUUGGUUUAUUUUCACAUAAUUUUAUUUUUCUAAACCUUCGACCCAAAUCCUUAAUAUUGUAUUUUUUAUCUUUAAAAUUUAUGGAAAAAUUGCUUUCUUAUUGACUAACUUUUAGAUUAGAUGUUUUUAAUUAAGCAUAAAAAAAUUCAUUAUCAUUCA